rnacentral:lncRNA from 1 species
UUGCGUUUGGAUGGAGUAUUCAGGAAAACUUUGAUUCGCGAUGUCCUUCAGUUACAACUCAUGACGUUCGAUGUCUGUGACUGGGUAACUUUCGAUGACGUCAGAUUUCUUUGGAUAAAACUGCGCGUUGAAACUAUGCGAAUUAACCGAGUCUCUUUAAUGCUACGGGACUGUAUAUCCGUCAACUUUGUGUUUUCUAAAAUAUCGGUAAGUUUUUUUUUUUUUUUUUAUCUCUUCAUAAACCAUUAUUAUGCCUAUCGUAUCAUUAAUCAUUUUUAUGUAUUAAUUAUAAAAAUAAUUAAUAAAUAAAAUCUUGGAUCAACAUGGUGUCCUAUUAUACGCGGCUCCUGUCCAAGAGUUUUUGGCGAUUCCAAACUUGGCUCCUCAAAUAACAAAAAACAAAAUAAAAUAUGUGGCUUUAUCAGUAGUAUAGUAUCAGGUACUGUCAAAAGAUUAAUUUAAGAUGGUUAUCACAUUCGAUAAUUUAUGGCGAUAUUAAUGGGAUUAUUUUAAAAAUUUUCCUUGUUUUAUUACUUAUAACGAGUAAUUCUGGUUUGUUGUUUAUUAUAAGGCUUAUAUUAUUUAAAUCUUAUUAUUUAAUAUAUGAUGUUUUAGCUUAAAUACAACAUAUUAAAACACUUAGAGCAGGGAUUCCCAACUUUUUGGCCCCGUUGGCUUUUAGUAAAUUAUCCGGUACCCCAUGUAGGAGGCACAGAUACCGCGGAGGAGAGCCUCGAGGGUAUGCCGAUCUGAUACUUUCACUACCUAUCUUGAAUCUUAAAUCGGGCAUUUUGAGUUAUCGAACCCUGCAAUGAGAAAAAAAGUCUAUGCAACCUCAUUGUUGGUAACAUUACUAUUUUUGUAAUAUAUUAAGAGCAUAAUGAAGAAUUUUCCGCACAGUUACGACCGAUAAAGUCUACCGUCUGCGCAUGCUCGAGAUUGUGAGUCGCAAAUGAGCUCGUGGCUCAUAUCAGUGGUUCUUCGUACCAGUUUCGGUCGUGUCGUUAACCGAUAAAGAGUCUUUUAUCGUCGUGUUUUCGGAACGAGCCGAUUCAACCCAGAAUAUUAAAAUUCGCCGUCAGCCAUUUAAUAUAACAGAUGAUCUUUAUUAGAAAUAAUAAAGGAUAGAAUAAGAAUAAUUUAUGAG